rnacentral:rRNA from 1 species
UUGGGUUAAGUCCCGUAACGAGCGCAACCCUUGUCCUUAGUUACCAGCACGUUAUGGUGGGCACUCUAAGGAGACUGCCGGUGACAAACCGGAGGAAGGUGGGGAUGACGUCAAGUCAUCAUGGCCCUUACGGCCUGGGCUACACACGUGCUACAAUGGUCGGUACAAAGGGUUGCCAAGCCGCGAGGUGGAGCUAAUCCCAUAAAACCGAUCGUAGUCCGGAUCGCAGUCUGCAACUCGACUGCGUGAAGUCGGAAUCGC